rnacentral:rRNA from 1 species
GUAGGUGGCAAGCGUUGUCCGGAAUUAUUGGGGCGUAAAGCGCGCGCAGGCGGGUUCUUUAAGUCUGAUGUGAAGGCCCACGGGCUCAACCGUGGGAGGGUCAUUGGAAACUGGAGAACUUGAGUACAGAAGAGGAGAGCGGAAUUCCACGUGUAGCGGUGAAAUGCGUAGAGAUGUGGAGGAACACCAGUGGCGAAGGCGGCUUUCUGGUCUGUAACUGACGCUGAGGCGCGAAAGCGUGGGGAGCAAACAGGAUUAGAUACCCUGGUAGUCCACGCCGUAAACGAUGAGUGCUAAGUGUUAGGGGGUUUCCGCCCCUUAGUGCUGCAGCCAACGCAUUAAGCACUCCGCCUGGGGAGUACGGCCGCAAAGGCUGA